AUGAGUUAGUGUGCGGAACUUUUUUUAGUCAACACCUAAUGACAUUUUAUAGUGCGGAAGUCACGUGGGGUUUCUUGUCCAAUGGUUUUUUUAAUUACAUCAGCUUUCUUUUGAGUGGUUCAAAAUCGUCUGCUGUUUUUGAACGAGAGAGCUGGGAGAAAGUGGUGUCGUAUAGAGGUAGAAAAAAUGAAUUGUGUUCGUCGUGUGUAUACUCCUGAGGGAUUUAUUUUGAACAAAAGCUCUACAAUACCAUAUGUUCUUGCUGUUACGCAACUUUCUGGAGAAGUUUUGUACUUUUUACGCGAGUGCUGACUGAUGAACAACCGUCGGACGCACGUGAUUGUUGUGAGGAAAAUGGUGAUAAAUUCUUAAAAUUCUUGGAUAUUGUGCUUCGUACUGAGUGGACUAAAGGAAGAGAGUUGUUUGGAUAGAUUUGCUCCUGUUGGUUGCGACAGACCAUCCAUAGUUAUUCUCGUGUCUGCCGGCCUGAGCUACCUUUUCAGACACCAUCUGUUCAGCCAAGCAUGCAAUUUUUCUUCUUGCGCUGGCCCACGUCAGAGGGAAGCAGCCCUGAGACUGAAGGAUUAAACAGGAGGAGAAGAAAGGGACUGCAAAGAUUUGGAUGGCAGGAGAAAAUCUGUUAUACGAUGACAGAACCUCAUUUGAUUUAAGUGGAGAUACUUGAAGACUUCUGCCUUUCCAAACAGUUGAGGAUUAUUCACUCGGAGUUUGCAAAAGCACUGUAGGACCAGACGUCGAGGCAUGUGGCUCAAAGAUGUUUUUUUCUUCAUGGGGCAACACGGAGGAAUGUGACCAGUUGAAAGUGCGACCACAGCCAAACCAGAUGCCUGCCAGAAAAGAAUCAGAAAACGAAGCCAUUUUCAUCACCGCAGCUGGACUGAAUGUGCACUUACGAGGGCCUAGAAAGUUACUAAACAGGCAAGAAGAAAGAAAACCGGAAACUACCACAACCGCCAUGCUUCAUCCUCGAAACUGCACAGGGACUUUCAUGCACGAAAAAAAAAAAAAAGUUAAAGCUACUGAAUCCUAUCCUAGACGCUGAAAAUGAAUGGCUGGAAUCUACACUCUAUAUCUGUGGGCCCAAGUCAACCUGUGGUUCGCGUGAGUGGCACUAACGUGUGAAUGAAGCACUGACGCCCUAGCCACACCUAGUUUCCGGCAGGUUGAUAAGACUGACUUUCUCCAGUGCUACCCCGUGCGCUGCUCGGCGGAAACAGAUAAGAAACGUGUUGAAAAACCAUCAACCAUCGUGUGGAUGUUUUGUGUGAGCCUGCACGCGUGGAUCAUAGCCUGGGCGUGCACUGACAUAUCCACAGCAGACAGUUCCUGACGAUACAGCAGCAGGAAAAUAUUGUUCUUCUGUCGCUCUUCUGUGUCGAUAUAUUUCUAAUAUUUGUGUCUUGCCUGCGCCUCACUGUUGUUCUCAUUGACUACUUCUCCUUGUCCUCUAGUGGUUAUGCAGCAGAAAUGAGCUAUAAGGGAAUGUACAGACAGAAAAAAGAGAAUUGUGAUCUCUGUGUGUGUGAGGAACGAAAGCAAGUGAAAAUCUUUCUGUAUGAUUAGUGAAUAUAGGACAUGAACGCCGUUUAGAGGAUGAGAUGCUAUAGUAUCUUGUACCUUGGAAAAUCACUGAAUGUUCAUUGUCUGAACGACCACUAGACUAGGUGCUACUUUCUCUUUAACAAACUUACUACUAAUCUGUGCACCCUUAAAAUAUGUCCGAAAUCUUCUCUUAAUAACAACAACUUCCACAAGUAACAUUACGAAGGGAAAUGGCCGACAUAAUCGGUGCACAGUGGGUUGCCGUCCCUUGCCUUCUUCAAGUGAAGAUUUACUGCCUGCUUAGUGAGAAGGGAGCUGCCGUCAGUCAGCCCCGCUAACAACUCUAAUUACCGCUUCAUGACUACCUGCCUAAUUCAUUCGCUGACCGUUGCAAGGGACGUGAACAGUCGUGCUCAUUCGUCUAGGCAAUAACAUCGAAGGGUUAUACUCUCUGCUCCUUGCAUACUACUUCAAUACAGUUUGUGCGACCAGUCUGAAAUUUGUCGCAUAGUAAAGGUUUUCUUAAGCUCUGAAAAAUAUAUUCUAAUCGAAUUAUGUGAUCCUAUUUGGCAAAUGAUUAUCUAUCCUAACGGACAUCAAACUCUGAACUGACAAAUUUUCGCUUGAACGAGUUGGCUACGGUUGGCUUAGGAGAUAAGCGCAAUAACAGGCAAACCUUAAAACCAGCUCUUACGGGUAUUCUAAGCAAUCAUAUCAACAACGACAGCACACUAAAAAUCGACGGACAACAGGUAGUCUCAACUUUAGGUAGACCGUCUGUAUGAUGAUCUAAUCCAGACAGAGGGACUUAACAGGAGCCGACACUGGCACCGCUGUAAUAUCGUAAUGGCCACUAUCUAACCCACAAAGUGCACCUGUUCCCACCCCUCACCCCUAAUUCCCGAAUGUGCAACAAUCUGUUUUAAACAACACUGUAGAUGUUACUAUACCACGCCUACUUUACACUGUCACAGCAAGUAAGCAUACGGGCAAUUCUGGGCCGUGUUUUGGGCUUUCAUAAAGCGACAUGUGUAUUCAGAUCUCACCCGAUGAUCUCACCACCACGAGGCACCGCCAUGAAGAGCAUCCAGAAGACAAGGGUGUGCUUCUUGGAAGAUCUGAGAACUACAUACACAACACAUCGUAAACCGUGCCUUUAAUCAGAUUUAUUUUCGGUCAAGAGUUGUGCAGCUCGAGACGGGAAUGCUGAAUGCUUCAACUGAACACACUUCGCACGAGAAGCGUGCAGUGCCAAGAGCAGAAACCGUAGUAUUCUUAAGCCAAUUUGGCAACACAACCAUUCCGUUGGCCCGGCUCCAUUACUCUCACCCACUUCACUGUCGCCAGCAAAAUGGAUUCUUCAUGAAACUCCCCUCCUUCCCCCAGCCUCUAAUUCUGCCUCCUCCUUUCGCCAGACACGCGCACACUUUCCUUCACUAAAACUAGAGCACUGCAAGGCCAAGGCACUGGCAUACUUCUUCAUCGAUUUCACAAUGUCGCGGGUCAUUUGACGUCUACUGAAGCGAGAUACAACCAAUACCACCAUUCUAAACCUCAUCCAUCAGACUGAAUAUUCCGGUUACCUCUAGUGAGCCUGGAAGCUCUAUAAGAAAUAUCCAACCGACUCGACGGAACCAACUACAGGGCUUUGUUUCCCUGGCAAAAGUGUCACCCUUUAUCUCGAAGCAGCACAGAUACGUGAAAGCUCCAGGGCAACAAGGGCAGCAUUACGGUCCCCAACUCGUGAUUCCCAAGCACUACACCUGUUGGGCAAGUUACUAAACAGUCAUCUUCGCCAGUGAUGACAAGGAGACUCUAAGCUAGGCCAGUAUUAAACCAGUAAUCAAAAUAGACAUUCCAUGACAUGUUAAGACUGAAAAGACGCAUGCCUGGUAAUUUAAUUUCCUAUCCUCUCCUUCGACUAAAAAUUACCCAUCUAGGCAUUCAACAGCUAUUUUCAUCAUCAGCUAUUUAUAACUGAAAACA